UAAAAUAAUUAAGGGCACACAAAGGAUGCCUAGGUAGUAAGAGCCGAUGAAGGACGUGGUAAGCUGCGAUAAGCCUAGAUAAGUUGCAAUCGAACGUAAGAGUCUAGGAUUUCCGAAUGGAGCAAUCUAUUAAGAUGGAGUCUUAAUACGAAAGAGGGAACCGCGUGAACUGAAACAUCUAAGUAACGCGAGGAAAAGAAAGUAAAAACGAUACCCAAAGUAGCGGCGAGCGAAAUGGGUCAAGCCUAAACCUUAAAUAUGUCAAGGAUACAGCCGUUGUAUUUAAGGGGUUGUGGGACAGAGUGAUGAAGAACUGUAAGAUAUUCAAUAUAGUGUAUUGAUGAAUUAGAAUUGUCUGGAAAGGUGAACCGCAGAAGGUGAAAGUCCUGUAUAAGUAAAUCCUUACACAUAUAACUUUGCUCCCAAGUAACAUGGAACACGAGGAAUUCUGUGUGAAUCAGUGAGGACCAUAUCUCAUAAGGCUAAAUACUCUUACUAACCGAUAGCGCAUAGUACCGUGAGGGAAAGGUGAAAAGAACCCCUGGAGGGGAGUGAAAUAGAACCUGAAAUUGUGUGCUUACAAGCGGUCAGAGCCAGCAAUGGUGAUGGCGUGCCUUUUGGAGAAUGAUCCUGCGAGUUACGUUAAACGGCGAGGUUAAGUAUAACGGAGCCGAAGGGAAACCAAGUCUUAAUAGGGCGAUUUAGUCGUUUGGCGUAGACGCGAAACCUGGUGAUCUAAACCUGUCCAGGAUGAAGCUGUGGUAAGACACAGUGGAGGUCCUAACCCACCGCCGUUGAAAAGUUGGGGGAUGAGGUAGGUUUAGGGGUGAAAAGCCAAUCGAACCAGGAGAUAGCUCGUUCUCUCCGAAAUGCAUCUAGGUGCAGCCUUGAGUGUUCAAUUAUGGGGGUAGAGCACUGAAUGAUCUAGGGGGCAUAUUGCUUACUGAAAUCAAUCAAACUCCGAAUACCAUAAUUUAUAGCUCAGGAGUGAGACUAUGGGAGUUAACUUCCAUUGUCAAAAGGGAAACAACCCAGACCACCAGCUAAGGUCCCUAAUUAUAACUAAGUGGGAAAGGAGGUGGAGAUUCACAAACAACUAGGAGGUUGGCUUAGAAGCAGCCAUACCUUUAAAGAGUGCGUAAUAGCUCACUAGUCGAGAGUCUCUGCGCCGACAAUGUAACGGGGCUAAGUUAUAAACCGAAGCUGUGGAAUCCUUUUGGAUUGGUAGGAGAGCGUUCUGUAGGCCGUUGAAGAAGAAGGGUAACCGACUUUGGAGGUAUCAGAAGUGAGAAUGCAGGAAUAAGUAGCGAGAAAGGGGGCGAGAAUCCCCCUCGCCGGAAGACCAAGGUUUUCAGGGUAAAGCUUGUCUUCCCUGAGUAAGCCGGGACCUAAGCCCAGGCUAUAAUGCGUAGGCGAAUGGAAAACAGAUUAAUAUUUCUGUGCCAGUCAUUUAUUGUGAUGGAGGGACGCAGAAGGGUAUGCGCGCGGACGAUCGGUUGUGUCCGUAGAAGUAUGUAGGGUGACUUAGUAGGUAAAUCCAUUAAGUUAUAUCUGAGGUAUGAUAUACAGUCGUAAGAUGAAUGCGCAAAUCCCACGCUGCCAAGAAAAGCUUCUAACGUUAAUAUAUGACUGCCCGUACUGUAAACCGACACAGGUGGUCAGGAUGAGAAAUCUAAGGCGGACAGGCUAACUCUCGUUAAGGAACUCUGCAAAAUAACCUCGUAACUUCGGGAGAAGAGGAGCCCUUGAGUGUUAGUAUCCAUGCGAUACAAAGCGCUCGAGGGUCGCAGUGAAGAGGCUCAAGCAACUGUUUAACAAAAACACAGGUCUAUGCUAAGCUGGAAGGCGAUGUAUAUGGGCUGACACCUGCCCAGUGCUGGAAGGUUAAGAGGAGGAGUGAGAGCUCCGAAUUGAAGCCCCAGUGAACGGCGGCCGUAACUAUAACGGUCCUAAGGUAGCGAAAUUCCUUGUCGGGGAAG
rnacentral:rRNA from 1 species